GCCCUGGUGGCAUAAACGGUGAAGCACUCAGCUGCUAAUUGAAAGGUUGGUGGUUUGAACCCACCCAGCAGCU
rnacentral:tRNA from 1 species